UACGAGGGGGGCUAGCGUUGCUCGGAAUCACUGGGCGUAAAGCGCACGUAGGCGGAUUGCUAAGUCAGGGGUGAAAUCCUGGAGCUCAACUCCAGAACUGCCCUUGAUACUGGCGGUCUCGAGUCCGGGAGAGGUGAGUGGAACUGCGAGUGUAGAGGUGAAAUUCGUAGAUAUUCGCAAGAACACCAGUGGCGAAGGCGGCUCACUGGCCCGGUACUGACGCUGAGGUGCGAAAGCGUGGGGAGCAAACAGG
rnacentral:rRNA from 1 species